UACGAAGGGGGCUAGCGUUGUUCGGAAUUACUGGGCGUAAAGGGCGCGCAGGCGGCUCUUCAAGUCAGAUGUGAAAGCCCCGGGCUCAACCUGGGAACUGCAUUUGAGACUGGAGAGCUCGAGUUCGGGAGAGGAGAGCGGAAUUCCCAGUGUAGAGGUGAAAUUCGUAGAUAUUGGGAAGAACACCGGUGGCGAAGGCGG
rnacentral:rRNA from 1 species